rnacentral:misc_RNA from 1 species
UGAGAGAGAGAGAGAGAGAGAGAGAGAGAGUUGAUGCACUCCCUCAGCCACGAAAGGAAUAUCAAUUUUGAAUCCGAUCGGUGGAUACGCGCAACCGUUCCAUCUCCACAGAGACGACUACGAGAGAGCGGCGAACUUCUCUCCUUCUUUUCUCCGUGGACCGGUCCCAAACUGGUUUGCUCUCUCUGUUUUCUCUCGCAGCUUACUCCCCUGGCCGAUACAGCUCGCGGCGGACAUCGACGAACGAUUC